rnacentral:rRNA from 1 species
GCGUUGAAAAGCUCGGGGAUGACUUGUGGGUAGCGGUGAAAUUCCAAUCGAGCCCGGAGAUAGCUGGUUCUCCCCGAAAUAGCUUUAGGGCUAGCCUCAAGGCGAGAGAUACGGAGGUAGAGCACUGAAUGUCCUAGGGGGUAUUGCACCUACCGAAGACUAUCAAACUCCGAAUGCCGUCAUCUUAUACUUGGGAGUCAGACUG